rnacentral:siRNA from 1 species
AAGGGCAUUUGGUCUAGUGGU